rnacentral:lncRNA from 1 species
CCCUUCCUCCUCUAAUUCUUUCUCUCCUUUGGAGCAUCCAAGAGAUCAAGAGAAGAAGUAAAUUAGCCUUUGAAGAUCCUUGCAAGCUAGCACUCCCAAGGAGCCUAAUCUGCAACUGAUCUUCGUGUGGAUGAUCUGUAGAGGUCAGACACCUUUGUACAGUUAUGAACAACCUAAACGAGUACUUAUCCAUAUGAUACACCAAUAGAGAUCAAUAG